rnacentral:misc_RNA from 1 species
UUUCCGUGGGUGAACCUGCGGAAGGAUCAUUGUCGAAACCUGCCCAGCAGAACGACCCGCGAACUUGUAUAAACAACUGGGGGCGGGGGGCGUUCUCGCCCCGUGCCCCCGAACGGCGGGGAGACACUCGUGCCUUCUUGCCGAACAACGAACCCCGGCGCGGUCUGCGCCAAGGAACUUCAACUAAAGAGUGCCUCCGGUCGCCUCGGAAACGGCGUGCGUGCCGGGGGCGAAUCUUGUGCAAAACCAUAACGACUCUCGGCAACGGAUAUCUCGGCUCUC